GACGAACGCUGGCGGCGUGCUUAACACAUGCAAGUCGAACGGAAAGGCCCUGCUUUUGUGGGGUGCUCGAGUGGCGAACGGGUGAGUAACACGUGAGUAUCCUGCCCUUGACUUUGGGAUAUCUUCAGGAAAAUGGGGCUAUUACCGCAUAGGAGCUCUUGCUGCGCGGUGGGGGUUGGAGAGAUUCGGCGGUUGGGGAUGGACUAGCGGCUUAUCAGCUUGAUGGGGUGGUAGGUGCUUACCAAGCGUAUGAAGGGUAGGCGGCAUGAGAGGGGUGCCGGCCACAUUGGGACUGAGAUACGGCCCAGACGCCUACGGGAGGCAGCAGUGGGGAAUAUGGCACAGUGGGCGGGAGCCUGAUGCGACAACGCCGCGUGCGGGAUGACGGCCUUCGGGUUGUAAACCGCUUUCGCCUGUGACGAAGCGUGAGUGACGGUAAUGGGUAAAGAAGCACCGGCUAACUACGUG
rnacentral:rRNA from 1 species